AACGAACGCUGGCGGCAUGCCUAACACAUGCAAGUCGAACGAGACCUUCGGGUCUAGUGGCGCACGGGUGCGUAACGCGUGGGAACCUGCCCUUAGGUUCGGAAUAACUCCCCGAAAGGGGUGCUAAUACCGGAUAAUGUCUUCGGACCAAAGAUUUAUCGCCUUUGGCUGGGCCCGCGUUGGAUUAGCUAGUUGGUAGGGUAAAAGCCUACCAAGGCGACGAUGCAUAGCUGGUCUGAGAGGAUGACCAGCCACACUGGGACUGAGACACGGCCCAGACUCCUACGGGAGGCAGCAGUGGGGAAUAUUGGACACUGGGCGAAAGCGUAAUCAAGCAGUGCCGCGUAAGUGAUGAAGGCCUUAGGGUUGUAAGGCUCUUUUACCCGGGAUGAUAAUGACAGUACCGGGAGAAUAAGCUCCGGCUAACUCCGUG
rnacentral:rRNA from 1 species